rnacentral:tRNA from 1 species
AGUGGCCUAGUGGUUAAGACGUCCGCUUGGUAACCCAGGGGACGCGGGUUCCAGCCCU